AUUGAACGCUGGCGGCAGGCCUAACACAUGCCAGUCGAGCGGAUGAAGGGAGCUUGCUCCUGGAUUCAGCGGCGGACGGGUGAGUAAUGCCUAGGAAUCUGCCUGGUAGUGGGGGAUAACGUCCGGAAACGGGCGCUAAUACCGCAUACGUCCUGAGGGAGAAAGUGGGGGAUCUUCGGACCUCGCGCUAUCAGAUGAGCCUAGGUCGGAUUAGCUAGUUGGUGGGGUAAAGGCCUACCAAGGCGACGAUCCGUAACUGGUCUGAGAGGAUGAUCAGUCACACUGGAACUGAGACACGGUCCAGACUCCUACGGGAGGCAGCAGUGGGGAAUAUUGGACAAUGGGCGAAAGCCUGAUCCAGCCAUGCCGCGUGUGUGAAGAAGGUCUUCGGAUUGUAAAGCACUUUAAGUUGGGAGGAAGGGCAGUAAGUUAAUACCUUGCUGUUUUGACGUUACCAACAGAAUAAGCACCGGCUAACUUCGUG
rnacentral:rRNA from 1 species